rnacentral:lncRNA from 1 species
UUGGGAGUCCUGUGAUCCCUUCUGUAUCUUUUAAGAAGUUAUUUUAUGUCUUAUAAUUGCCUCCAGCAUACUCACCAAUCUUGUCUAAGCUGAGCCUUCGGAUACAGAAGCUGAUUUGGAGGUGAUGGAUCAGAACUCCUUGGUUAAUUGUGAUGGUUGAGCUUCACAAUCAGCUUGACUGCGUCUGAAGCCAUAAAAAACGCAGCUCCGUGGUUCUCAAUGAAUAACAUGAGGGUGGAUUAAAAAGAAAGAACCAGUAUUCUUGAAUCUUUGGUGAACUCCAUUGAAAAAAAUCUUUGUGGAUUUGAACCUGGUCUUCAUGAGAUGCUAAUAGGAGGAAAGGAUUGUGUAUUUUGAAGCAGUCAAGUUCUCCAAAAGUCAUGCCUUGUCUUGCAGACAUUCAGAUUCUUAACACUGUCACUAUGUUCCUUGUUUCCAUUUCAGACAUUCUCCUCAGAAGAAUCAGGUCUUCUGUUGAUUUUUUUCCUUGCCUCACCCAAGCUGUUCUUUCACCCUUCCUCCAUUGGGAGUGGCAUCUUAAGUAUUCUUUCUUGGUGAUCCAACUAGGAGUAGAGUUAAACAGCACUUUAAACC